rnacentral:rRNA from 1 species
UACGUAGGUGGCGAGCGUUGUCCGGAUUUACUGGGCGUAAAGAGCGCGCAGGCGGUCGUACAAGUCGCGUGUGAAAGCCCCCGGCUCAACUGGGGAGGGUCACGCGAUACUGUUCGACUCGAAGGCAGGAGAGGGUAGUGGAAUUCCCGGUGUAGUGGUGAAAUGCGUAGAUAUCGGGAGGAACACCAGUGGCGAAGGCGACUACCUGGCCUGUUCUUGACGCUGAGGCGCGAAAGCGUGGGGAGCAAACAGG